UUUUUUGGUGAAAGUCCCAUAUUUUUUUUGGAUCAAUAAUGAAAUUAAUAUGAAUUAAUGAAAAUAAAGCAAAUAAAAUGAAAAUUCAGAAAUUCAAAAAUAUGUGGACCAUUUAAUCUCCCUCAUUAAUUGAGGUGGCAGAUCAAAUGGUCCAAAACGCGAGUUCUACAUGGUCCUGAGUCAAAUGAGCAACACACGUGGUAAUCACAACCAACGCCCUAGAUUAAAACAUUUUGAAUGGAUCUUGU
rnacentral:lncRNA from 1 species